UUUUAAAAUCUGUAAAUGGUUAGUCAAUGUGAGCGAGUGAAUAAUUUUGUGAAGUUGCUGCAUGUAGGGAUUUACAGAUAACUUUGGAGCAGGAGAAUCAGGACCUCCGGGCACAAUGUCAGGGUCUGGAGAAGAAAGUGCAGAAUAUGGAGGCGGAGUAUGGGUGUAAAGAGGAGGAGCUACUGCGCUUGGAAAUGGAGCUGGAAGAAGAAAAGGAGGAGCAGAAGAAAGUGGCAGCCCAUUGGAAUGAGCGGUGGCUGGAUAUCUCACUGGCUCUGCAGUCCACUCAGGCCGAACUAGAGGAGACUAAGAAACAUCAUGAGGAGAAAGAUACAGUGAGCACUGCACCAUGACUAACAGCACUGGCUGAAAUUCACAAGGAUUUAGUUUCUAUCAUCUGUAUCUCAAGUCUCCUAAUGUACUGUAUGUUAUCAGGUGAGGGAGGACAUGGCAGCAGAAUUGGCCAGCAUGGUGGAGACACUGGAGACACAGCUAAAGAAUGGACAGUAAGUGUCUGUGUGAAGCAUGCUGUAGUUGGGCAGGUGGGACACGGGAAUGCAUGUGGUCUUACUGACAGUAAAUAUGUGCUCCACAAGGGAUCAGAUCCAGAGCUUACUGGAACAGAAAACACAACUUGAGACAGAGAUGUCCCGAGUCAAGAAAGAAGCUGGUGCUUUGGAGCGAGUGGAGCUUGAUGCCUGCAGACAGCAGCUGGAACUAGAACAAAGCAGGAGACAAAGCCUACAGCAGAGACUGCUGGGAAACCCUGUGUCUCUGGAGGAGAUGGAGCUGGUGCAGGUGAAGGCUGAGCUGCAGAAGAUGUGGGACAUGCUAAAGAGCCGGGACACUGAGCUGGAGGAGCAGCAGCAGGAGCUGCAGUCUGCUCGAGGCCAGGUGACCCAGCAGAGCAGUGAGGUGCAAAGGCUGGAGCAACAACUGUCUGAGAGAGAGCAGGAGCUGAAGGAAAGUGACAAAGAAUGA
rnacentral:lncRNA from 1 species